rnacentral:misc_RNA from 1 species
GCAAACUUGGUCAUUUAGAGGAAGUAAAAGUCGUAACAAGGUUUCCUUAGGUGAACCUGCGGAAGGAUCAUUAGCGAGGGCGGGUCCCCCACGUCGCAGGGCCCAACCCGUGUCUACCACGCCCCGUUGCUUCGGCAGGCCCGCUCGCCGGAGACACCGCAUGAACCCUGUUUGAACGGUGGCCGUCUGAGUGGAUUGGGCAAUCGUCAAAACUUCCAACAACGGAUCUCUUGGUUCCGGCAUCGAUGAAGAACGCAGC